rnacentral:rRNA from 1 species
GCCAGAGCCAUAUCUCCCUGAUUCUCGCCUGGUGUCCCACUGAAGCUAAGCAGGGUUGAGCCUGGACAGUACCUGGAUGGGAGACCUCCUGGGGAAAACCAAGGUUGCUGCUGGAA